AUUGAACGCUGGCGGCAGGCCUAACACAUGCAAGUCGAGCGGAUGAAGGGAGCUUGCUCCUGGAUUCAGCGGCGGACGGGUGAGUAAUGCCUAGGAAUCUGCCUGGUAGUGGGGGAUAACGUCCGGAAACGGGCGCUAAUACCGCAUACGUCCUGAGGGAGAAAGUGGGGGAUCUUCGGACCUCACGCUAUCAGAUGAGCCUAGUUCGGAUUAGCUAGUUGGUGGGGUAAAGGCCUACCAAGGCGACGAUCCGUAACUGGUCUGAGAGGAGGAUCAGUCAACACGGAACUGAGACACGGUCCCGACUCCUAAGGGGGGCAGCAGUGGGGAAUAUUGGAGCAUGGGGGGAAGCCUGAUCCAGCCAUGGCGGGUGUGGGGAGAAGGUCUUCGGAUUGGAAAGCACCUUAAGUUGGGAGGAAGGGCAGUAAGUUAAUACCUUGCUGGUUUGACGUUACCAUCAGAAGAAGCACCGGCUAACUUCGUG
rnacentral:rRNA from 1 species